ACCAAGCAACGGCAAUGCAGUGGGGUCACGUCCAGGCAGUGGAAGGUUUGUUCUUUAACUCUUCGCAAUAAAUCUUAAUGCUGCUCACUCUUUCCAUCGGCGCCGCCUUUAUGACCUGUAACACUCGCCGCAAAGGUCUGCAGCUUCACUCCUGAAGUCAGCCAGACCUUGAACCCACCAGAAGCAAGAAGGAACAAACUCCGGACUCACCAUCUUUGAGAACUGUAGCACUCACUGCAAGGGUCCACGGCUUCAUUCUUGAAGUCAGUGAGACCAAGAGCCCACCAAUUCCGGACACAUAAUCACCAGGAGGACCCAGACAAACGCAGAGGUAAGACCAUUUAAAGAUGGAAAGAAGAUUACUGUCUACAAGACAAGGAGAGAGGCCGUAGAAGAAAUCAACCAGGCCAAAACUUUCAUCUCAGACUUCUAGCCUUCAGAACUAGAGCACUGUGAGAAAAUAAUCAUGUUCAUGGUGAUGUCUAAUCAUCGCCCAGUGGUGCUCAGUGGCAUUAUAGGAGCUAUGAGUAAUACAAAAAUCAGAAGUAUUCCAAUAACAUUGCAUUUGAAUUCUAUGCUCCAAAUUCAUAAUCCAAUCUCCCAUCCAAAUUACUGUUUGACAGAGAUCAUUAAUUUGAUUUGCCAAUUUUUGAUCUAUUUGGCUUUGGGAAUUCCAAAGCUUAGAAGAAUUUUUCUGCCAACUAUCCACAAAGCCUGCAGUUUGAAUAGAAGAGUGCAAAGCAACAGCAGCAGCAGCAGUAGCUGUAACAGCUAUAAGGCCCAGGAUCACAGCUAUUAAAGUCGGUGGAGUUGCUUGGCGAGCUUUACAGUUUCCAUCUGCUCAACAGAGAUGGUCUUCUGAGCCAUCUGACGAACUAGGGGUGCAGGGAUGUUCCGAGGUCUUUUCCUCUUCCUUGGAUUCUGGCUCAUGGCACAGCUUAAGAUGUCUUGUGGGUACCCAGACAGGAAGCUGAUUCUCUCCUGGCCUUUUCCAGGAAUAUAGCCCAUGUUUGACAUUAUUUUUUGAUGAGCUUCACCGUACCAGGGAGAAGGGAUUGAAAUUUCUGUGCCCCAUUGCUGAAGCAGAUCUCUCCCCCAUAAGUUAACAAGAAUCAGUAUGUGGACAAGCCUGGAUCAUUCCCUCACCGUAACUGGCUGUUGGGCAAGCCUGAAGCUUUCCUUCACCAUAGUUAAUGGCGGGGCAUGCAACAAUGGGAGUGGCAGGCCGCGUCUCAGGCUCCUGUUCCAAAAAUUCAUAAGGCCGAGGUGGGAGUGGCCAUUCUGGACCUUCCCCUAAAGGCGCAGUAGGUGGCACUGUUUCUGCAGUAGGUGGAACUGUUUCUUUGAUAAGUUUUUGGAGGUUAGCAUAUAUAGCUUCCCGUUUCUCCCCCUUUUUAAAACUAGACUGUGAUGGUUCACUUUGCUGAUCAUCAGACUCCCGAUUAUUAAACUUUUCUGUCAUCCUGAAACUCCUCAUCCUCCUCCUCAGUGUGGAAGGGCUCCAAUGCUGUUUUAAUUGCUGACCACACAGACCAAGUGGAGAAGGGAAUAUCAUGGCCCUCUUACUGUGCUCGUUUUAAGUCUGUUCUCACCUUGUCCCAAUCUUUUACAUUCAUGGUUCCGUAUUCCAGGAACCAAGGAGAAUACUUUUCUAUGAGAUGGAACAAAGAUGUGAGAUUUUGGGUACUCACAAUUACCACCCCCUGCGGUGCAAUAACUGCUGCACCAGGCUUAAAUAAUUAGCAAACUUACCUUCAGCCUGACCCAUAUUUUCCUGAGGUUACUCUGGAAUUCUCUGAGGGCCCUACUUACCCAUAGAGCAUGAAGUGAAAAACGUACUCAGGCAUCCUUCGUCAGUCGUCCUCCACUCUCCAUGCUCUGGUAUUUCUUCACCUGAUUAUUUGUAGAGUUUAUGGGGAGCCCCACGUUGGGCACCAGAUGUUGGGGAAACCAGCCCCAUACCACCCAGCGGGUAUCCCAAGUCUGGCAGAGACAAGAGUUAGAAAGAGACAGAAUAACCAUUUAAAAGGUGGGUCCAGGGGACCGGAGUUGGUGGCUUGCUCACAGCCCAGAGCUCCCGGGCUCCACCCAAUUUAUUGGUUUACAAGCUCUAUGUUCUUAGGGCAGAUGGGAUUAAGGAUUAAUCAGUCCCUUGAAGUCCAAAAAUAAAUAUUUGGCUUAUUUGAUGUAAUAAAAUCAUAUAGAAAGCAUAAAAUGAUGUUUAACCAUCUUUGGAUUACAUUUAUAUAAAUGUGUUAGUAGUAUUUAUUACAAGAUUAUAUGAGAUUCCUGUGACUCUAAUAUGUUUUAGUAUAUGUUAUCAAUAGUAAUUAUUAUCAUGUAAAAUAGUUGUAUGACACAGAAGUAACUAAAUUUCCUUCUCAAUUGUGUCUUUAACUAUAGCUGUUCUAAGACAUUUUACUUUAAUCCCUUAAUAACGCAGUUUAUAAUCAGCUAUAGAAGUCUAAGGAGUACUGUUAAAUAUAGGUUUCUGGUAAUUUUAGAGAUUGUAACAUUGGAAUAGACAGAAAAUUUUCCAGGGCUCUCAUGGAGAGCUGAUGUAUUCAUGAGGAUUUUUGAUCCAAUAUCGAGCAGAACAGAACAGGAGUCAAUUGCAGAGACUGAACUAACAGAAGAGUAAAAUAAUCUUUUAUGACUUUUUGUUUAAAACAUUUGCUGAUUCCUUUUGUUUUGUUUUUCAGUAAAGAAAAUAUUUUUUCUUUCAAACUAGUUAUAGCUUUAUACAAUUUAGUAAAGUAUACUCUAGUGAGCAAAAUUUAAAGCAUAAUUCUUUUCUAUCUAAUUUCUCCCAAAUUUGGAAACUAUAUGCAAUUAUUAUUAGUUUAUGGCAAUAGAGUUAUUUGCAG